rnacentral:rRNA from 1 species
UACGGAGGGUGCGAGCGUUGUCCGGAAUCACUGGGCGUAAAGGGCGCGUAGGCGGCCUGAUAAGUAGGGGGGUGAAAUCCUGCGGCUUAACCGCAGGGCUGCCUUCUAAACUGUCAGGCUAGAGCACAGUAGAGGCAGGUGGAAUUCCCGGUGUAGCGGUGGAAUGCGUAGAGAUCGGGAAGAACAUCAGUGGCGAAGGCGGCCUGCUGGG